rnacentral:lncRNA from 1 species
GACACCUCCCUUUAAUAUGACAUGCCAAUUUGUCCAUCAUCAAGACAUAGGAACUGAUCAAUGUCUGACACUUAGUGCAAUCCCAUCACGUUCAAUAAGGAGUCAUUUGGUAGAGUGUAUAAGAAUAAUGCAAAAUAUGGUGUAUUAGUAAUGCUUGUAUUAGUAAUGGUUGUAUUAGUUAUGCUUGCUUUAGUUAUGUUUGUAUUUUUUUUAUGUAGUGUUUGGUACGAUAUAUUAAAAAAAAACAUGAAUUAAAUUUUUUUUCUUUACAUAAUACCCUCAAUAUAUUUGUUGGAAAGGAUGCAAAAUUUUUUUGAGGGGUAAUAGGGUCUUUAAGCAUGUUAAUGCAUGCAUUAGAUCCAUUACAUUACUAAUGCCAUGGAUUUUGAGGUAUUAGUAAUACACACCUCAAUACACAAUAGAGUGUAUAAUUAAUGCUUGCAUUAGUUAUACAUAGGGUAAAAAGGUAUACCAAACAAGGUACUACUAAUACACAUUAAAAUAAUGCAAAAUAUGGUUUAUUAAUAAUGCUUGUAUUAGUUAUGCUUGCAUUAAUUAUACUUGUAUUUUUCUUAUGCAGUAUUUGGUUCGAUGUAUUAAAAAAAACAUGAAUUACAUAAUUUCUAAAAAAAAAAAACUUUUACAUAAUAUCCUCAAUAUAUAUGUUGGAAAAGAUGCGGAAAUUUUUUUAAGGAGUAAUAGGGUCUUUAAGUAUGUUAAUGUAUGCAUUAGAUUCAUUGCAUUACUAAUGCCAUGAAUUUUGAGGUGUUAAUACACACCUCAAUACACAAUGGAGUGUAUAACUAAUGCUUGCAUUAGUUAUAGAUAGGGUAAAAAAGUAUACCAAAUAAGGUACUACUAAUACACAUUAAGCUAAUGAAUGCAUUAACAUUUUAAUUGUAUGUUAUGAGUGUUAUGAGUCAUGUUCACUAUCUUACCCCGAGUCUUGUCUUCAUUGUACGUGUACUUAAUUGCUCUAUUGUAAGUAAUGAGCACACCUCUGAACUUCGAAUAUUUCUGAAUGACCUCCCUAAGGAUUUUGUAGUAAGCUCCUUCUAAGUUAAUGAACACCAUAAGUAAGUCUCUCUUAUUGUCCCUAUACUGUUCCAACGAUCUCCUUGUAAAAAUGUGCAUUCAAUAGUUGAUCGUUGUGACAUUAAUCUGAAUUGGUAUUCAAAGAUCGGCACAAGCCUCCUUAUACCUCCUCUCAACUAUUCUUUUCGAAAUGUUCACGGUAAAACUUACUAUUUUGAUACUCCCAUUGUUGUUACAAUUCUUGUGGUUCACGCAAAAAUUGUUUAUGAUAUCAAAUAUCGGUCACAUAACCACUUAUAAUUGGCAAAGGACAUAUGCUAAUGAAUUUUAAGUGAUUUUAUGACUGGUAUUUGAAAAAAUCUCAAUUAAUUGUCAGAAAAUUUAUACAAUGCAACUAACUUUAUUGAAUAAUGUGAAGUAAGCUGAAGGUUUUGUAAUGUAUCAAAAUCAGCACAAUAGGCUUUUUCUUUCAGAAAUUUUCCAAUUCAAACAAAAUGCAGAUUAUUUCAAGAAGGCAAUUUUGAAAAAUAUUUCCAGUUCCUUUAAAUUAUACUCCUAUAAACCGCCGGAGUUGAAAUAGUAAAAAACACAAUUAAGCGGACAAGUUCCUUUUCAGUUUUCCCGCCCACAAAGAAAACUAAAAUUCAAGUGCGCUUCACACGGAUCGCCGAACUUUAAAAAUCGUCGAUCCGCGAAAACCAUAGUCAGCGAAUCACAGAUAACCACGUGGAUUCUAACUAUUUGCAAUAGCCAAUAUUGAUCGUCCAUUCUCCAAUUUCAUCGACGGCUCACAAUCACGGUCCUCCUAAGCUGAAACUAACCAAUCAAAUAACAGAUCCAAAAUCCUAUAUAAAUCUCAUUCUCCAUUCAACUUCCUGGUCACUCUCUCUCAUUCACUUUACCAAAGCAAAAACAAAAAAUUUCUAUUUACCUCUCUUUGUUAGUUCUGAGCAAUGGCACCAAAAGCAACAGGGAAAAAGCCAGCUGAGAAGAAGCCAGUAGAGGAGAAGAAGGCCGAGGGAGGUCCUGCUGAGAAGAAGCCCAAGGCCGGGGAGAAGCUCCCGAAGGAGGCCANNNNNNNNNNNNNNNNNNNNNNNNNNNNNNNNNNNNNNNNNNNACAAGAUCUACAUCUUCAAGGUGCUGAAGCAGGUGCAUCCAGAUAUCGGCAUUUCCAGCAAAUCAAUGGGUAUAAUGAACAGUUUCAUUAAUGAUAUAUUUGAGAAGCUUGCUCAGGAAUCAUCUAGAUUGGCUAGGAUCAACAAGAAGCCUACUAUCACUUCCAGGGAAAUUCAGACUGCUGUGAGACUUGUGUUGCCUGGUGAAUUGGCUAAGCACGCUGUUUCUGAAGGGACCAAGGCUGUUACCAAGUUCACUAGCUCUUAGGCUUUAAUUUGGGGAUCUUUUGGGGGUGUUUUGGGUUUAUGUAAAGGCUGGUAGUUAUUUUUGAUGUCUGGUAUGUAAUCACUUCAAAUGAUUCUGUGUUUGAUCUUGUUUUAGUUUUGUUAUAUUCUUGUGAAGCUAUUUUGGUGUUAUAUGUUUCUUCAGUUGGAAUGUGUAAGCAGAACAUGCGUGUAGUUUAUUGAUUUCAGCAAGAUCACCUCUUCAGUGGUAAUUUCAGAGAAAUGUCAAAAUUUACCAAAAGUGUCUCACCAUAAUGCCUUUAACAUUUCCAAAUAAUAUGCCUUAAUUUUUCUAUUAUUGAUUGUGUAAUUAGAAUUUGAUAUUGUAAAUGUUUAUGUGGACAGUAAUUAAUUUAUGGAGGAUUCAAAUUGGUGAUAUAUACUCGAUAGAGAGCAUACCAACGAUAUUAAGUUGCCCUAUAAUUUUUUUGUAGAUUACAGAUCAUUUAUUUCUACUUUGAAGUGCAAAUCAUGUUUGAAUGAUGGUUCUUUCCUCGUUAUUCAACUAGUCUUCUUUGUUUUCCUCAUUUAUGCUUUCAGAAUGCUUUAACUUAAUGACAAGUGUUUGAGUAUGUUGAAUGUUGAUUGUGUAUCAAUCUUUAAAUUUUUUUUUUAACCUUAAUCAGCCAACUACUUUGAAAAGUGAUUGAAGUUUGCAAAUAAUGACUUACUCCCUUCACCACAUGUGAAUAUAGCAGACCAAAAUGAGGCACUUGGGCCUGGGCCUGGGAAUGUUUAUCUGGGAUCAAUUGAUUAAACAAUCCAACACAAUGUUAUUGUUGGGCCUGUGUUGAGAUACAAGUGUCAAAUAGUUAAUUGUACAAGUGAAAAUAUUGUUGUUUGUUUGAGGAUUAAGGCAGGGUAAUUGUGAUUAUAAUUAAAUAAACAAUACACCACUCAUUCCCAAAACUCUCCCUGUAUCCUCUUACUGUUGUAAUGGCUUAUAUCAAUUUGGGUGUUUAUCGUUAUCAUUGAUAUUACUGUUCGGGAUAAUUAUUGUUAAAUCUUGUCGUAGUAGUCACUACACCACAUCUCAAGGCAACAUGUUAUAUUUGUUGUUACAAACUUUUAACUUAUAGAUUCUAAGUCGUAUUUAGUGGAAAGUUCAGUUGAAAAAAUGCACUUGGGUGAUUAUCUAUUUGUAGCCUAUCGAAUUGAGCUUAUUCGUAGUAAGUGAGUCCAUGAAGUAAGUUACGAGGAGUUUAGGAGCAGAGAAUUUGAAGUCUAUGAGGAGUGGUGUGGAGGCAACUGAACGAAGAAGAGAAAAAGUUCAGUGUAAUGAAAGCGACAAUCGUGUGAGAGCAAUUCAUUGUUGCAGCACUAUAUAAUAAAAGCUCUAGUGCGUUUCAGAAUCAUUUGACUGUGGAAGUAGUCCUGAAAACUGGAGGAUUUGUUUAAUCUGGGAAGUAGUUAACUAUCCUUUAAAAAAAAAAAUAUUACUUUUUAAGGCCAUUUCUUUAUGCAAGCAUUACAUGUAGUGUGUGUAAAGUAAAUUUCACUGAUGAAUGAUGCACUCGAGUAGGAUCUCUUUAUGAAAUUCCAGUAGUUGUUUGUGAAUUGUGAUAUAUCCUUGAGAGUUGAAUCAAAUGUAGGUCUAAUCGCAAGUGGACAUCAAUCCAAAGAAAGGCACAAUUUGGAGUCUUAUGUUUAAUCCAAAGAGCAUAUAUUUGUCAAUUUGGUUUGAUGGAAUUGAGUUAUGAAUCACUUUUUGUGUUCUCUGACUUUCAAUCACACAUGUUCUCUUUGUAAUCAAUAAAAACGCUGUAAAAUGAUAUUAACAUAUAGGUGCGUCGCGUAACUAAAUUUGAAGAUGAAAAUGCAUGUUCGAAUAAAUAAUAGUGAGCUGUCCGAUUGAUGUAUAUCGUCAAAUCGAAACAAAAUCUUUUCCUUAUAGAAUUAGCUAAGCAUGCUGUUUCUGAAGAAUUAAGGCUGUUACUAAGUUCACCAGCUCUUUUGGGUUGUAAAGAAUGAUAGUUUUGGAUGUUUGAUACUGAUAGGCCUUGGUAACAUUACUGCAAAUGAAUCAAAGAUUUUCCCAGCUGAAUUUCUGCGCUGGAUCUCUUUCAGUUUUUAUUAUUUUCUUGCGAAACAAUUGGUGUUCUAUGUUUCUUCAUUUUGAAUUUGUAAACACAGCACAAGUUUAAAGUAUUACCUCCGCUUCAUUUUUUACCUGGCCCCUUACAGCCACCACUUCUCAGCGCAAGCUUUAGCAAUUAGAAUAAUUUAAUUUGGUUUUUGACAUCUGUUUUCUAGUUCUAUGUGUGUAAUAAAAUUAUUGCACGAAGCAGUAUUGCGUGAUUACAUACUUUACCUAAGGUGCGUGCUGAAAUUCAACAGAGGGGCGGGGAUGAAUUGGAAAUUUUCUGUGAGUCGAUUAUUGGCUUUUCACAGUCGACUUUCCUACAGAAUAAUACACUUCACAAAAUAGACUAGGUCCGAAAUAAUCAAGAUUCAAGGUAAUAAAUAAUCGAAUUUAAAGUAAAGUCACAAAUUUUAUCCUGGUUCGUAACAUCAAUGUAGUGCCUACUUCCAUUCACCUUGGGUUUCAGUAUUUCCUUAAUCGUUCAAUGUCGGGCUCGAGUACAAUUAUGGGAAACAAGUUUUGAAGACUUAUUUUGUUCUUCAGAUCUUGUGACACUGCUUCAGUUACGAAGUUGACUAGAUCCUACUCUUUAUACAACAAUUGUAAACUAAGAAUUACAGAGCUUCGUGAGACUAAGAUUAAGCCACUUUGUAACUCUUCUUUGAAGUUGCGUAACGUUGUGCAUCCUUAGUCUUCUUCUUUAAUAGUUUUCAACUGCUACUCUUUGUAAGGAAACCCAAGAGAUUUAUUCUCAAUCAAAGAUUUGAAUUGAUUCCUUGAUUGAGGAAAGUAGCCGUAUGAUAUGUCCAUAUCAGAUAUAUCCAUAUACGGCUUUUAUUCUCGUCCAUAUUAUAUAUGUCUGUCAUCUUUUCUUCUUUUUGGUCUUGUAGUGAUUGAUACUUUUGCAAGUUUGUUUGUGAUCUUUUCUUUCUUUUACUUCGUUGUGAUUGAUCUGAUCUGCCACGAUUCGGGAUCGGGAUCCUCUUUCCGUUUGUUUUUGUUUUGAUUGAUUCGCUUGGAUGCCGCGGAUCAUAAUUUGACCUCCUUCCAUUACUGGAGCCGGCUUCCUUACUUGCUUUCUUCAUCUUUCCAUCAUUAGAAGUUUUUCAAUAUCCUGCAAAGAUCUAUUCAUUAGUUUAUUAUUAUUAAAACGUAAACUUAGGAGGCUAACACAUGCCUCUUGGUGGUCCCUCGUCAUAUUUAAAUCAUGGGACCUUCUCUGAUUAGGUUGAUUAUGUUACAACUCAAUUAACAAUAUCAAAUUUUAUUUUUUUUGGUUUCCAUCCGGUAUACGGUAUCCAUAUUGGAGCUCGAUUAAUUCAAAUUCGCGCCAAGUAGAACCCCAUUCGGGAGAUAGCGCUCCCUUUUCAUGCCCAGAGCUCGAAAAGAAAAAGAUAUUCUCCAAAUAAUCUUAUGCAUUGUCUGAGAAUAUAGUCAUUUCCAGGGGGUAUAAAUUAAUAAAAUUCCUGCCAAUAUCUUUAUAGUGGUUUUAAGUGCUAUAUGAAUGAGAAAUGAAUUUCUGUCUUCGAAAAAGAUAAUAGAAGAAAAGAUAUCAUUUGAACAACUUCUUUUAUCUUGAAUGAGUUGCAAUAAAAGACUAGUGUCACGGGCCUAUUUGGCUCCAAAGCCCCAUAAAUGUUGAUCCGAACUUGUAAUUUGACCUUCCAAAGAUACCCUCACGUUGGCCUUGUCAAGAGACGUUGUGGAAAUCCCGUCGGGCUCCGAAAUGCACCCAAAACGUUCGGAAUUGUGUCCAAAACUGGAUGAAUUUAAUGGGUAGUGACGCGGGGCGUCACACUAGCCUCAUAUUUAAUAAUAGAUUUUCUGUAUAUUUGUUUUUCAGUCACAUACUUUGUGUGUUUCAUUCCGUCUUCAAGUUUGACAAAAUUGUUGGUUGUUUGAGGUAUCACUACGGUGUCGUUUGAUUGGGAAUAUAGUUAUAUUGGGAUUAGUUAUGUUGGGAUAAGUUAUGAUGGGAUAAGUUAUACUGGAAUUAGUUAUGCUGAGAUUAUUUUUUAUUAAGUGUUUGGUUUGUUGUUUUCAAAUUAAUAUGCAUGGUAUAAUUUCAAAGAAUAAAGUAUUUGAUUACCAAAAUACCCCUAUCUUAUUUAACUUCUUUUUUGUUUAUAUAUAUUUGUUUUCAAGCUUUAAAUAUUUAUUCUUAAAAAUAAAACUUCCAUCUUAUUUAGCUUAUUUUUUUUGUGUGUGCAUUUUCAUGUUUAUAUCGUGUGUAUUUUAAAAAUAAAUCUUUCAUCUUAUUUAACUUUAAUUUUUUUGCAUGUGCCUUCCCAUGAUUAUACUGUGUGCGUUUUAAAAAAAAUCUUACUACAACUUAUUUAGUUUGAAUUAAAAACUUCCAGCUUAAGUUUGUUAAAGUAAAAGAAGAUUUGUUGUUUAUGUCACUUCAUUUGAACACAUAUUACUCAUAUAAUAUAAAAUAUUAAAAUUCAUUUUAAUUGAUAUAUACAAUAUCAAUUUUCAAGUUAUUAAAAAACUAUUUAAUUUAAAAUAUGUAAUUGAACAAUAGAGUCGAUUGUGAAAUGAUAAUGUGUAUUAAAAUUAGACAAUGCCUUUGUACUUGUUAAAAUAUUUUAUAGAUUACUAGUGAAUAGUAAUUAUUAUUAUAAAAUCUACUUACUUUAAUUAAUCUUUUCAUUGUGUAGUAAGAACUUUUUGUGUUAUCAAUUCACAAAAAUAAUACUUGAAAGGAAAAAGUUGAUGUUGAAUUUCAUUUUUCUAUGCUUAAAAAAUUAUAGUACCUACAUUUUUUUGGAUGUAUAAAAAAUUAUAGUACCUUGUUUUGAUCCUUAUUAAUGUAUGAAUCUAACAUAUUUUAUUUUUUAAUUUGUUAAUUUUAUAUUUUGAUCCUUUAUAUAAGAAAAUAGCGUAUAAGUUUAUAAUGGGAUGAAAAAAAUGUAAAAUUUAAUUAAUAAUAGGUUAAUUUUUCUUAGUCAUAUAUUUCCUUCGUUUCAAAAUAAGAUAUUUUAGUCUUUUUAAUUUGUCAUAAAUAACACGUUUUAGAUAAUCAAGUAGAUAUCAAUAAUCUUUUUUCAAUUUCAAAAGCAAUAACUAGAGAUGAUGAAAAAGACUGGAAAAAUGUGUUUGUAAUGAAUUUGGGGGUAUUUUUGUCAUUUAUUUAUCCCGGAAUAAAUUAAGGUGGGAUAACUUAUACCACCAAAUAUGUGGUAUAACUUAUCCCGGGACUAUUAUUAAUCCCGGGAUAAGUUAUCCCAAGUAUUGCCAAACCAAACGAUGUAUUAAAAAGUUUAUCCCGAAAUUAUUAUUUUAUUUCGAGAUAACUUAUCUUAGUACCUCACACCAAACGGCCCCUACCGGUCUACUUCAACAUGUAUACUCUUUCUUAUCUUGGAGGUAGGGGUGUGCAUCGGUCGGUUCGGUUCGGUUUUACGUGUUAUUGGUUCGAUUUAUCGAUUUUUGAUUUUUAAAUAUGUAAAACCAAUGACCAACCAAUAAGAUAUUUUCUUAUCGGUUUCGGUUUAUCGGUUUUUGGUCCUUAACGGUUCGAUUUUCGGUUUAACCAAUAAGAAAAUAUUUAUAAAAUAGAAAUAGUAACAACUAACAUAAAAAAAAUGAAAUCUUAAUUACCGCAAAAACCUACGCAAUGCAUUUUAGUUUACAGGAAUCUUCAAACUUGAACUGAAUGUUAGUUAGGAAAAAAAUUGAAGCCUAACUGUUGGAAGCUAUAAAUGUUUCAAGUUUUUAUUACGAUAAUAGCCGAACUUUAUAUUAUGCAUUUGUUGCCCAAAAUAGGUUAAUAUUUUGUGAAUCACUGAAUUAUGAAUUUGUAGUACAUAUAAUCUAUAUACAUACACAUAUUUAUCUCUCUCUAUAUAUAGAGAGAUAGAUUUAAAUAUAUAAAUAAAUAGGGAUAAAACAAUAACUUAGUGUAUUCUUAUUGGUUUAUCGGUUUAACCGAUAACCCAAUAAGCUAAAACCGAUACCGAACGGUUUACCCAAUAAUUUUUUUUAUAAAACCAAUAAAAAUUUGUUAAUCCGAUAACCUAAUACCAAUAACCCAAUAAUAUUUUUAUCUGUUUGGUGUAUCGGUCGGUUCGGUUUUUCUACAGCCCUACUUGCAGGAAAUAAUCAACAUAUUAGGUAAAGUUAGAUAAUUAAAUUUUUUAAGGAUACAUAUUCUAUAGACUCGAAUGUUUUUAUAGAAUAUUUUUCUUUGUGUUUCUAAUUUAUUUGAUUCUCCUACUUAUAAUUUUGAACACAUGAUACGGAAGAUUUUUUUUUUUUUUUUUUUUGAAGAAUUAAAGAUUCAAAUGUAAUAUAUCAAGCCAUCUUAAUGAUUUUUGAAUUAAAUAAUAAUAAUAAUAAUAAUAAUAAUCAAUUACAUAAUUCAAAGCUAAGUUAUUUGAACAUUAAAAUUUUACUUGGCAUUAUCAAAAUAAAAAUACAAAUCAAAGUAGAAGGUAAAGAUAAGAAAUUUGAUUUACUAAAAAGGCAAACACCUAAAUUACAUAGCCAAGAACGCACAAUCGAUUAAUAUUACUCCAUCGAAUCAGCGAUCCGCGAAAACCAAAAGUAUCGAAUCACAGAUGACCACGUGGAUAGAAACUAUAUGCAAUAGCCAAUAUUAACCGUCCAUUCUCUACUUCAUCAACGGUUCAUAUUCACGAGCCGCGUUAGCCGAAAUUAACCAAUCAAACAACAGAAUCAAAACUCUAUAUAAUCCUCCCUUCCCCCAAUUCCAUUUCUCAUCACUCACGCAUUCUCUUCAUUUAAAUUCCAAUUCAUCUUUCUGUAAAGUCUCUCAACAAUGGCACCAAAGGCAGCAGGGAAAAAGCCAGCUGAGAAGAAGCCAGUAGAGGAGAAGAAGGCCGGGGGAGUGCCUGCUGAGAAGAAGCCCAAGGCCGGGAAGAAGCUCCCGAAGGAUGCCAGCGGCGCUGACAAGAAGAAGAAGAAGGCAAAGAAGAGCAUUGAAACCUACAAGAUCUACAUCUUCAAGGUGCUGAAGCAGGUGCAUCCAGAUAUCGGUAUCUCCAGCAAAUCAAUGGGUAUAAUGAACAGUUUCAUUAAUGAUAUAUUUGAGAAGCUUGCUCAGGAAGCUUCUAGAUUGGCUAGGAUCAACAAGAAGCCUACUAUCACUUCUAGGGAAAUUCAGACUGCUGUUAGGCUUGUGUUGCCUGGUGAAUUGGCUAAGCACGCUGUUUCUGAAGGGACCAAGGCUGUUACGAAGUUCACUAGCUCUUAGGCUUUAAAUUGGGGAUCUUUGGGGUUUUGGGUCUAUGUAAAGGUUCCUAGUUUUGGAAGUUUGAUAUGUAAUUGUCUUACUAUGAUUACUGCAAAUGAAUCAAGGCUUAUUAUCUAGUGAAAUUCUGUGUUACUUAUUAUUUUGUUUAUCGUAUUGUGGCGAUAAUAUUGGCGUUCUAUGUUUUGUCAACCGAAAUUCUUAAACAGAGCAUGAUUUGGUGUAUUGUCACUGUGAAUUGCAACGAAUAAUUGUGAUUUACCAUAAGCAUGACACCGUUCUGAUUAAGUUAUAAUCAUACUUUUGAGUUAUACCAACGAUUUCAAACUGUUCUAUAAAUUUUUUGAGUCUUGGUGUGGAGUUUAAAUACAUUUAACUGUUAUUUCUGUGGAAGAAAAUAUCCAAUAUUAUUGCCUUGUCAAAAUGCAAAUCAUUUCAAAAUGAUAUAAUUGUUUUCUGUUCUUUAAAUUAUUCUUGUUUUUUUUUUUUUUUUUUUGGGUUCUUUUCUAUCUUCUCUGUUUGCCUAAAUUUUGUUAUCUAAUAUUUGAUAACAAAAUUGAAGAGGACAUUUCAAUUUUGAAGAGGAAGUGGUUAAUUAUUGAAGAGGAUGCGUUUAAUCUGGUAAGUAGUUAAUUAUCCUUUUCAAUUCUCUUAUUAGGACAUUUCUUUAAGCAAGGAUUAUUCAUGUAUUAUUUGUUUGGUUUGGUGGAAUUGUGUUAAGUUAGAUGAAAUUAUUUUUAAGCUUUUAAUGUUUACUAAAAUGGAUUUGUAUUCUUAAUUUAUGAACUUACUUUUUAUAAUCACUUGCUUACUAUACACUUAUUCUCGUGCUAAUCAAUAAAACUUUUUAAAAUGAUAAGAAUGAUAUCAUCACAUAGGUGCAAUGGAUUAAGAAUUUUAAGUGGAUAAUGCAAGUUUAAAUUGAAAAUAAUGAGCAUAUCCGAUUUAUAUUUAAUGGCAAAUCUUUUUUUUUUGGCUUAAAAGUAUUUAAUAUCAAAUCGAAUGAAAUUUAUGUAAAAUCAUUUUUGAAUGAAUUUAAAGAAUAUCUUAAUUUUCUGGUUCAUAAAGGUUGAAGUCGCAUCUAAUUUUUUGAUAUAGCAAACAUAUGUGAAUUCAUCUACUUUUUCAAGAGAAAUGCAUCAUCAAAAUCAAUAAAAAGAUCAAUAUGGACCAUGAUUCAAAUGGGAUUGCGCUUGUCAAGCUAAGCAAGCGCUAAGCUUUUGCUAGUGGCCGGAAUGACAAUGUGAAGACUCUUUAAUGCCCAAGUUUUGAUGUAGACAACAUUCAAUUUUGUACAAGUCUAAUUAUGAUAACUUUCAUGUCUUUCACAACAAAGGAAAGAGAGUCGGCUAACAUAAUUUUUGCAUAUAUCUAAUUAUGAUAAUGCACAUGUCCUUCACAACAAAGAAAAGAGUGGCGGCUAUUAUGCCUUUAUUUAACAUGGAAUGAAUUCAUCAAGUCAGAAAUUUAUACUUAGCUAAGGAGAACAUGAAGCAUCUAUUGAAGGACGAGCAAAGAAAAUUUUCACCACCUAUUGCAUAAUACUGAAACAAUCAUAUCUAGUUGUUUGAGUCUAAUGAAUGAAGUUUAGAAUUUGAAUUUGGAGUUGUAAUUUUAAACCUUAUUUGAGCUAGUUAAUUUGAGUUUUGAUUGUUACUCUUUAGGAUGGGUCUUUCAUAUAAAUAAAUUAUUCAAUUUCUUUAUAAUUUAGGUGAAAUCUGGUUGGAACAAGUUUUUCCACAAAGCCAUGUUGUUCACUUGAAAUUCUAAACCAAGAAGACUCAAAUAAAUCAUAUCUUCUUCAUUUUCGUUUGUUUUCUCCCUCCUUUCGCUGGAGUUGUCGGUGACUUAAAAAAGUUAAAUUGGAUGGAGAAAAAAUAUUUUCUUAGUAGUAUUUUUUAUGUUUAUUUUUAUUGAUUCAUAACAGAUGUUGUACACCCUUAAUAAAUACUCCUCCCAUAUUAUUUUACUUUAUCUCAAAUUUUUUAAUUUGAUUUCUCGUUUUACUUGUCAUUUUUUAUAAAUUAAUAAGAGACAAAUUUUUCCCCAUAUUUUAUCCUUUAUAUUAAUUACUUUUUCUUCAAAUUAUAAUGUAAACAUCAUAGUAUAGUAGCCAUAUUAUUAAUUAUUUUUUUAAUUAAUGUACCAAAUUAAUUUGGGACAAGUAAAAUGUGAGGAAAGAAUAAUAAAUAAAAAGCAUAUUUUAUCAUGAAACGCCCAUCAGUGAUUUAUAAUUUGAUGAACUUGAAAAAGAUACUCUUAUGAUAUAAUUAAUGAAGGAUAAAUUAGAAAAGAAAUAAUUUUCUCGAGUCAACAAAUAAAAUUUAGAAUAUACUUCUCUGUUUAUCUUUACUUGUUCAUUUUUUUAUUUUGGGUUGUCUAACAAUAUUUGUUUAACAUAAAAAUAAUAAUAUAUUAUUAUUUUUAACUAUUUAUUUUUAGUACUAAAUACGAUUUAUUUUUAAUUUUUUUAUGAUUCAAUUUUACUUCUAUCAUCUCCUACUUUUUAAUUUUGAUGUCAAUAAAAUAAAUAAAUAAAAAUAAAUGGAGGAAAUAUUUUGGGAAAGGAAAAGGUGAGGGAGGAAGUAUUUUUUCACUUCGUAAACAAUUAAUACAGCCAUUACUGAUCGUCCAUUCCCCCCUUCAUCAACGGUUAACAUUCAUGAUCCACGCUAACCUAAUGUAACCAAUCAAACAACAGAAUCGAAACCCUAUAUAAUUAUCACUUCACCGAUUCCAUGCCUCAUCACUCACGCAUUUUCCUCAUCACAAUUUCCAUUAAUCACUCUGUGAAAUCUCUCAACAAUGGCACCAAAGGCAACUGGGAAAAAGCCAGUACAAGAGAAGAAGGCUGAGGGAGUUCCUAAGAAGCCCAAAGCCGGGAAGAAGCUCCCAAAGGAUGCUGGCAGCGCUGACAAGAAGAAGAAGAAGGCAAAGAAGAGCAUUGAAACCUAUAAGAUCUACAUCUUCAAGGUGCUCAAACAGGUGCAUCCAGAUAUUGGCAUUUCCAGCAAAUCAAUGGGUAUAAUGAACAGUUUCAUUAAUGAUAUAUUUGAGAAGCUUGCUCAGGAAUCAUCUAGAUUAGCUAGGAUCAACAAGAAGCCUACUAUCACUUCUAGGGAAAUUCAGACUGCUGUGAGGCUUGUGUUGCCUGGUGAAUUGGCUAAGCACGCUGUUUCUGAAGGGACCAAAGUUGUCACUAAGUUUACUAGCUCUUAGGCUUUUAGUUUGGGGGAUCUUUUGGGUUUUUGGUCUAUGUAAAAGCUGGAAGGCUUUGGUGUUUAAUAUG